CACAGUCUCAGUUCAGAUUGUAGGCUGAAACUCGCCUAUAUGAAGUCGGAAUUGCUAGUAAUCGCGGAUCAGCAUGCCGCGGUGAAUACGUUCCCGGGCCUUGUACACACCGCCCGUCACACCAUGAGAGUCGAUAACACCCGAAGCCUGUAGUCUAACAGCAAUGAGGACGCAGUCGAAGGUGGGAUUGAUAAUUAGGGUGAAGUCGUAACAAGGUACC
rnacentral:rRNA from 1 species